rnacentral:lncRNA from 1 species
CGGAGCCGUCCUUGUGGCUUUUAAGCCUUCUUGGUUUAAAUUCUUUGAUGGAAUAAAAUGAUUAAUAAUAUAUUCUCUAAUUACUGAAAAGGGAACUCCUACCACAUGGCCAAUUGUGUUUGGUGUCCCUGAAACCCUAAUUGGGAGAUUGACUGGAAGAUUCCUAGUUGAGGAAUGGUGAUGGUAUUCUUUUAUCCACUUUGAGAGAAACUUUGAGAAUGUGAACAGCCACAAAUUUAGAAGUUUCUUUUUUUGCUUUGCUAUAUACAUGGACAAUAAUCCUGUACCUUGCCUGUGAUCUUCCAGAACACAGAUUGGGUUUGUUAUCAGUUAUAUUGAUGGGUUGUCCUCAGAUGGUUGAAGACUGAGGCUGCAGGGAUGAUUGAAAUCUGUAGGCGGAAGAGACAACUGCAAUUCCUGGAGGUGUUAGAACUCUGCAGUGUUUUGGAGGUCUGGUGCUGCCAUUUAUAUUUCUCUUCCCUGGAACUCUUUCUUCAUAACAGAUUUUGAACUAAAAAUAAAGAAAAUCUCCCAUACUCUGUUAGGAGCUUGAUUUUUCAAAGAAAUCUUGCCACCUCCUUUGAGAAAAUUUCUAAUGAAUUUUACACCCUUUCCUCCAUUUAUUAUUUCUACCAA